AUUGAACGCUAGCGGGAUGCUUUACACACGCAAGUCGAACGGAGUGGCGGACGGGUGAGUAAUAUAUCGGAACGUGCCCAGUAGCGGGGGAUAACUACUCGACAGAGUGGCUAAUACCGCCUACUAUUGGAGCGGCCGAUAUCGGAUUAGCAAGUUGGUGGGGUAAAGGCUCACCAAGGCAACGAUCCGUAGCUGGUUGGAGAGGACGACCAGCCACCAGUGGGCUAGGACAAGGCCCAGACUCUUACGAGUGGCAGGAGUGGGGAAUUUGGGACAAUGGGGGAAACCCUGAUCCAGCCAUCCCGCGUGUAUGAUGAAGGCCUUCGGGUUGUAAAGUACUUUUGGCAGAGAAGCGGUAUCUGCAGAAUAAGCACCGGCUAACUACGUGCCAGCCGCCGCGGUAAUUC
rnacentral:rRNA from 1 species